AGCAGUAGCCGCGGUAAAACGUAGGAGGCAAGCGUUGUCCGGAAUUAUUGGGCGUAAAGCGCGCGCAGGGGGUUUCUUAAGUCUGAUGUGAAAGCCCUCGGCUUAACCGGGGAGGGUCAUUGGAAACUGGGAGACUUAGAGUGCAGAAGAGGAGAGUGGAAUUCCAUGUGUAGCGGUGAAAUGCGUAGAUAUAUGGAGGAACACCAGUGGCGAAGGCGACUCUCUGGUCUGUAACUGACGCUGAGGCGCGAAAGCGUGGGGAGCAAACAGGAUUAGAUACCCCUGUAGUCCCUGUCUCUUAUU
rnacentral:rRNA from 1 species